rnacentral:rRNA from 1 species
AGUGAACGCUGGCGGUAGGCCUAACACAUGCAAGUCGAACGGCAGCACAGUAAGAGCUUGCUCUUACGGGUGGCGAGUGGCGGACGGGUGAGGAAUACAUCGGAAUCUACUUUUUCGUGGGGGAUAACGUAGGGAAACUUACGCUAAUACCGCAUACGACCUACGGGUGAAAGCAGGGGAUCUUCGGACCUUGCGCGAUUGAAUGAGCCGAUGUCGGAUUAGCUAGUUGGCGGGGUAAAGGCCCACCAAGGCGACGAUCCGUAGCUGGUCUGAGAGGAUGCUCAGCCACACUGGAACUGUGACACGGUCCAGACUCCUACGGGAGGCAGCAGUGGGGAAUAUUGGACAAUGGGCGCAAGCCUGAUCCAGCCAUACCGCGUGGGUGAAGAAGGCCUUCGGGUUGUAAAGCCCUUUUGUUGGGAAAGAAAAGCAGCAGGUUAAUACCCCGCUGUUCUGACGGUACCCAAAGAAUAAGCACCGGCUAACUUCGUG